rnacentral:rRNA from 1 species
GACGAACCGAGCGAACGUUGUUCGGAAUCACUGGGCUUAAAGGGCGCGUAGGCGGGUGCUCAAGUCUGUGGUGAAAUCCUCCGGCUCAACCGGAGAACUGCCAUGGAUACUGGGCGUCUCGAGUGUGGUAGGGGUAUGCGGAACUAUCGGUGGAGCGGUGAAAUGCGUUGAUAUCGAUAGGAACUCCGGUGGCGAAGGCGGCAUACUGGACCACCACUGACGCUGAUGCGCGAAAGCGUGGGGAGCGAACAGG